rnacentral:misc_RNA from 1 species
CUACCUCCUCCCUCUUCCUCGAUUACGUCUUCUACUGUUUCUUCUGUUUCCUGUACUACUUGUCGUUGUAGCAGAUUUUCCAAACAUACUCCAUACAUCCAUUACUGUAGCAACAGCACUAGUUACAGUACUAAACACAUCAACAAUCUUAUGCAGCAUCUCUUUAUUAUCAUAAUUUUGAUCUUUCGAAGUAUGAUUUAAUAACGAUUCGUACAUGUAGAGCAAAGAAGAAGCAGUUGAAAAAUCAGGUAGAGGUGACUGCGAUGAGAUUCUGUUCUGGUAAGGCGAGUAUUGAGGAGAAGGCAAACCGGCGAGAAGUUGCAGUACCAAAUCUGAAUCUGAUAAAGGAUUUUCGUUAGCGGAUAGAGAAUCGGCUAUUGAUUGCAAAUGGUUGAUGUAUGAUUCAAUGGUGUCCAGAUCCCCUUUUCUGGUGCCGUGAAAUUGCAUUUUCAGUUGUUGAAUUGUGAUAGCUUUUUCAUCUUUCGAACUCGAAUCGGUAAUCGAGGAUGGAAAUGG